CGGCGGACGGGUGAGUAAUGCCUAGGAAUCUGCCUGGUAGUGGGGACAACGUUUCGAAAGGAACGCUAAUACCGCAUACGUCCUACGGGAGAAAGCAGGGGACCUUCGGGCCUUGCGCUAUCAGAUGAGCCUAGGUCGGAUUAGCUAGUUGGUGAGGUAAUGGCUCACCAAGGCGACGAUCCGUAACUGGUCUGAGAGGAUGAUCAGUCACACUGGAACUGAGACACGGUCCAGACUCCUACGGGAGGCAGCAGCG
rnacentral:rRNA from 1 species